AACCUGGUUGAUCCUGCCAGUGGUCAUAUGCUCUCUUCAAAGAUUAAGCCAUGCAUGUCUAGGAAUGAGGGAACUCACACACCGAAUCUGCGAACGGCUCAUUACAACAGUCAUAAUCUACUUGGCGAUUUGGACCGCAAGGUCUGCAGACGGAUAACCGUGCCAACAGCAGAGCUAACACGUGCACAAGGCUCCCGCGAGGGAGCGCAUUUGUUGGAUCCUCUCACACCAUCCGCGCCGCAAGGCGCGCGCAGGUGAUUCACAGCAACUGAGCGAACCGCACGAGGUGCCCGCAAGGGCGGCGGUGGACCAAUCGAGUCUCUGCCCUAUCAGCUUUCGUCGGUACGGUAUUGGCCUACCGAGGCGUCGACGGGUAACGGGGAAUUAGGGUUUGAUUCCGGAGAGGGAGCCUGAGAGAUGGCUACCACAUCCAAGGAAGGCAGCAGGCGCGCAAAUUGCCCAAUCCCGAUGCGGGGAGGCAGUGACGAGAAAUAACUGUUGGGGUCUUCGGAUUCCAAACGGGAAUGAGAACAACGCAAAACCCUUAUCGAGUAGCAACUGGAGGGCAAGUCUGGUGCCAGCAGCCGCGGUAACUCCAGCUCCAGUAGCGUAUACUAAAUCUGUUGCACUUAAAAAGCUCGUAGUCCGACUUGCGAGGGCACCCGCGACGAAGGCGCCGGCGAUUCAACGCCGCCGAGAGGCGGUGCGCCGGAGAAGCCCGCGCGGCGUCCCUCCUGGGCCCUGUGCGCGCGCGAGCGCGCACACGUUCCUGUGAGCAAAUCAGAGUGUUCCAAGCAGGCGUUUCGCGCCCCUGCAUGGUUUAGCAUGGAAUAACGAAGCGGGACUCUGGCCGCCCCGCUGUGUUGGUGCAGCCGGCCGGAGGACAUGGUUAAUAGGGAUAGUCGGGGGCAUUCGUAUUCCGGCGUCAGAGGUGAAAUUCUAGGAUUGCCGGAAGACGAACAACUGCGAAGGCAAUUGCCAAGGAUGUUCCCAUUGAUCAAGAACGAAGUCUAGGGGAUCGAAGACGAUUAGACACCGUCAUAGUCCUAGAGGUAAACGAUGCCGACUAGGGAUUGGAGAACGUUUGUUUUUCUAUAUCGACUCCUCCAGCACCUUGUGGGAAACCAAGAGUCUCUGGGUUGUGGGGGGAGUAUGGUCGCAAGGCUGAAACUUAAAAGAAUUGACGGAAGGGCACCACCAGGAGUGGAGCCUGCGGUUUAAUUUGACUCAACACGGGAAAACUCACCAGGUCCAGACAUAGGGAGGAUGGACAGAUUGAGAGCUCUUUCUAGAUUCUAUGGGUGGUGGUGCAUGGCCGUUCUUAGUUGGUGGAGUGAUUUGUCUGGUUAAUUCCGUUAACGAACGAGACCGAAAUCUGCUAACUAGCGGGGCGUUUUCCUCUGCGGAAACGCCUAGACUCAAACGCUUCUUAGAGAGAUUGCCGUUGACAAGGCGGCUGAAACUUUCGGCCAAAACAGGUCUGUGAUGCCCUUCGAUGUUCUGGCCACACGCGCGCUACACUGAUGGACGCAACGAGCGUGGCACCUGCGCCGAGAGGCCCGGGAAACCUUGCCAAAGUCCAUCGUGCUGGGGAUCGACCCUUGCAAUUGUGGGUCGUCAACGAGGAAUUCCUAGUAGGCGCGGGUCAUCAGCCCGCGCCGACUACGUCCCUGCCCUUUGUACACACCGCCCGUCGCUCCUACCGAUUGGAUGAUGCGGUGAAAUCUCAGGACCGCGGCCGUGCUCAUUCGUGACCUGCUGCGGGAAUUUGAUUAAACCUUACCAUCUAGAGGAAGGAGAAGUCGUAACAAGGUAUCCGUAGGUGAACCUGCAGAAGGAUAA
rnacentral:rRNA from 1 species